rnacentral:rRNA from 1 species
AUCCUGGACUGUGCCGGCGCGGGUCACGGACCCUGUAGGCGGCUGCACUUCUCUCCGCUGGUGGGCCAACAAAUGUUGGGCGAGAGGCAAAGGGACGUCUUGAAGGUGGCCGACUCUUCGGAGUCGGUGUUAUAGCUAGAUGUAUUCGCAUCUCUGGCGCGACAUGGGCAAUCGCGCGGCACAUUCCCUCCGGGGAUGGCCGAAAGGCACAAAUGUAGCCGAAGUUGUUGGCGGUCAAAUGAUUUCAUACGACCCGUCUUGAAACACGGACCAAGGAGUCUAACAUGUGUGCGAGUCUUCGAGUGAUCGAAACUCACAGGCGAAAUGAAAGUGAUUUACAGGGUGAGAUCUUGGUGUUU